UUUUUCUGUAAAUCUAAGAUUUCCCUAUUAGUAUAUAUGUCGAUAGUGUGUACUGUAUAGAUUAUACUGAUAAAUUAAUUGAUCGAAGGGUAAAUGUGCACAGCUUUCCAUUUAAAUGGCUGCCCCAAAAACGGGUAUUUGGGCCUUCGCCUGCUACUUAAACGGGUAUUACUCCGUUUAUACUUUGUACGUUUUCCUUUCUCAUUCUGAACGUAUGUUAGAUCUCCUAAUCUUGCUUAGCUUUCAAUUAUCCUACAUGAGUUUGUUAGAAAAAAUUACUACUACAAUAUUGAUACCAACAACAAUUAAAAGUAGGAGCAAAUUAUCACGAACACUGUCACGACCUUGAAAGUGAUUUUGGCCCGAGAAGGAUGUGAAUCAUUGUUGAUGAUCUUGAAAGGGAUUUUGGCCCGAUAAGGAUGUGAAUCAUUGUAGAUGGUCACUCCCAAGGUUCACUGUCUUUCAAAUACAUGCACUCGUGACUGAAAGUUAAAAUACAUAACGUUAGUGAAAGAGCUUUUUAUUUUCUUAUCUAUAUUUAGUUUACUAAAGAUGCUUCUUAAAUAGGAUCAUCAUUUACGUUUUCAUCCAUCAGAGGAACUUAAAAAAAAGGCAGCCCGGUGCACUAAAGCUAUCGCUAUGCGCGGUGUCCGGGGAAGGGCUCCACCACAAGGGUGUAU
rnacentral:lncRNA from 1 species